UACAGAGGCCCCAAGCAUUACCCGGAAUUAUUGGGCGUAAAGGGUGCGUAGGUGGUCAUAUUAGUCGUUUGUUAAACCCCGGGGCUCAACCCCGGAUCUGCGGGCGAAACGGUAUGACUCGAGGGCGUGAGAGGUACAUGGAACUCUAGGUGUAGGGGUGAAAUCCGUUGAUAUCUAGGGGAACACCGAAAGCGAAGGCAAUGUACUGGCGCGUUCCUGACACUGAAGCACGAAAGCGUGGGUAGCGAAUGGG
rnacentral:rRNA from 1 species